rnacentral:rRNA from 1 species
GACGAACGCUGGCGGCGUGCUUAACACAUGCAAGUCGAACGGAAAGGCCCUGCUUGCAGGGUGCUCGAGUGGCGAACGGGUGAGUAACACGUGGGUGAUCUGCCCCUUACUUUGGGAUAAGCCUGGGAAACUGGGUCUAAUACUGGAUAGGACCAUGCUGUAGGUGGUGUGGUGGAAAGAUUAGUUUCGGUAAGGGAUGAGCUCGCGGCCUAUCAGCUUGUUGGUGGGGUAAUGGCCUACCAAGGCGUCGACGGGUAGCCGGCCUGAGAGGGUGGACGGCCACAUUGGGACUGAGAUACGGCCCAGACUCCUACGGGAGGCAGCAGUGGGGAAUAUUGCACAAUGGGCGCAAGCCUGAUGCAGCGACGCCGCGUGGCGGAUGACGGCCUUCGGGUUGUAAACUCCUUUCAGCCAUGACGAAGCCCUUGUGGUGACGGUAGUGGUAGAAGAAGCACCGGCUAACUACGUG